AUACGGAGGGUGCAAGCGUUGUCAGGAUUUAUUGGGUUUAAAGGGUGUGUAGGCGGUGUAUUAAGUCAGUGGUGAAAGCCUGCGGCUCAACCGUAGAACUGCCAUUGAUACUGACACACUUGAGUAUGGACGAGGUAGGCGGAAUUUAUGGUGUAGCGGUGAAAUGCAUAGAUACCAUUAAGAACACCGAUAGCGAAGGCAGCUUACUAGGCCAUAACUGACGCUGAGGCACGAAAGCGUGGGGAGCGAACAGGAUUAGAAACCCCAGUAGUCC
rnacentral:rRNA from 1 species